rnacentral:rRNA from 1 species
GCUGGAAUUGCUAGUAAUGGCAGGUCAGCAUACUGCCGUGAAUACGUUCCCGGGCCUUGUACACACCGCCCGUCACACCAUGAGAGUUGGGAAUACCCGAAGCCUGUGAGCCAACUAUAUAGAGGCAGCAGUCGAAGGUAGAAUCAAUGAUUGGGUGAAGUCGUAACAAGGUAGC